rnacentral:lncRNA from 1 species
GCGACAGAGUGAGACUCCGCCUCAAAAAAAAAAUUAAUAGAAACACACAGAAAGAGAAACAGAGGGAGAGAGUUACACAUAUCCUGGAGGAAUUCCUGAAUUCCAAUACUGAAGUAAAUAGCUUUCAAGAUUAUGAAAUUCUAGAGUUUUUUUUUUUUUUACAAAGGAAUGAGAGUUAGACUACCAUCAAACUCUUCACCCACAACCCUAGAAGCCAGCAGACAGUGGAGGAAUAUCUGCAACCACUAAGAAGAAAGGCUGCCAUCCAGGACUCCUAUUCCCAGGAAAGAUAUCAGUCACUCAUCAAGGGUGAACUCUGAUACUUAGUGUCAAUAAAAACUCUAUGGUGCCCUGGACAUUUCAGAUAACAGAUCAUCCAGCAGAGUCUGUAGGAACCAGGGAUUCCUCACCUACGGCUCAGUGAGACCAAGAAUGUUUAAAAGCCUGCCGUGGUCUCCCCAUCCCUGCAGGGAGCUUCUACUAAACUGUGAGAAACAUCAGAACAAGAACUGAAGAUGUCUUCGGGUUUUUUUGUUACUGUUUGUUUGAGACGGAGUCUCACUCUGUCACCACGCUGGACUGCGGUGGCAACCUCUCAGCUCGCUGCAACCUCCACCUCCCGAGUUCAAGCGAUUCUCCUGCCUCAGCCUCCCGAGU